UUUGUAAUGUGUGGAGACACAGUGCUAAGAAAAACAUCUAUAAACCAGGAAGCAGGUCCUCACCUCACACUGAAUCUAGUGGUGCAUUGAUUGUGGACUUCCAGUCUCCAGAGAACUAGAACAAACAAUCCUAAAAUUUGUGUGGAACCACAAAGGACCUUAAAUCGCCAAAGCAAUCUUGAGAAAGCAGAACAAGGCUGGAAGCAUCAUAAUUCCAGAUUUCAAGUUAUAUUACACAGUGGUGGUAAUUAAAACAGUAUGGUAAUGGCACAAAAAUAGACACAAAGAUCAGUGGAACAGAAUAGAAAACCCAGAAAUAAAUCCACACUUCGACAAAGGAGGAAAGAAUAUGUAACGUGAAAAAGACAGUCUCUUCAACCAAUGGUAUUGGAAAAACUGGUCAGCCACAUGCAAAAGGAUGAAACUGGACUUCUUUUCACCAUACACAAAAAGAGCCUCAAAAUGGAUUAGAGACCUAAAAGUGAGACCUGAAACCAUAAAAAUCCUUGAAGAGAACACAAAUAGUAAUCUCUCCGACAUCAGCUGUAUAACAUUUUUCUAGAUAUGUCUCCUGAGACAAGGGAAGUAAAAGUAAAAAUAAGCUAGUGGGACUUCAUCAAAAUAAAAAGCUUCUACACAGUGAAGGAAACAAUCAACAAAACUAAAAGGCAACCAAUGGAAUGGGAGAAGAUAUUUGCAAAUGACAUAUCCAAUAAAGGGUUAGUAUCCAAAACAUACAAAGAACUGAUACAACUCAACACCCCAAACAAAUAAUCCCAUUAACAAUGGGCAGAAGACAUGAGCAGACAUUUCUCCAAAGAAGACCUACAAAUGGCCAACAGACACAUGAAAAGAUGGUCAUCAUCACUUGCCACCAGGGAAAUGCAAAUCAUAAUGCAAGUCUAAGUGUCAUGGAGAGGCACACAGGGAAUACUAGUUGAGGUCUGAAUUUUUUAAAACACCAGCCAUAUCUCUAAAACAUACUUGGUGUUUAUUAAAAUAACGGAGCGUGGUAA